AAGCCUACCAAGGCUGUGAUCGGUAGCCGGCCUGAGAGGGCACACGGCCACACUGGCACUGAAACACGGGCCAGACUCCUACGGGAGGCAGCAGUGGGGAAUCUUGCACAAUGGGGGAAACCCUGAUGCAGCGACGCCGCGUGAGCGAUGAAGCCCUUCGGGGUGUAAAGCUCUUUCGGCAGGGAAGAUUAUGACGGUACCUGCAGAAGCAGCUGCGGCUAACUACGUGCCAGCAGCCGCGGUAAUACGUAGGCAGCAAGCGUUGUUCGGAGUUACUGGGCGUAAAGGGUGCGUAGGCGGCCGUAAAAGUAUGGUGUGAAAUCUCCCGGCUUAACUGGGAGGGUGCGCUAUAAACUGCAUGGCUAGAGUAUGGGAGAGGAAAGUGGAAUUCCUGGUGUAGCGGUGAAAUGCGUAGAUAUCAGGAGGAACACCGGUGGUGUAAACGGCUUUCUGGACCAUAACUGACGCUGAGGCACGAAAGCGUGGGUAGCAAACAGGAUUAGAUACCCUGGUAGUCCACGCCCUAAACGAUGCAUAUUUGGUGUGGGCCAUUCAUUUGGUCCGUGCCGGAGCUAACGCGUUAAAUAUGCCGCCUGGGGAGUACAGUCGCAAGGCUGAAACUCAAAGGAAUUGACGGGGGCCCGCACAAGCGGUGGAGCAUGUGGUUUAAUUCGACGCAACGCGAAGAACCUUACCUGGGCUCGAAAUGCUAUGGACCAGCUUAUGAAAGUAGGCCUUCCCGCAAGGGACCGUAGUAUAGGUGCUGCAUGGCUGUCGUCAGCUCGUGUCGUGAGAUGUUGGGUUAAGUCCCGCAACGAGCGCAACCCUUGUCCUGUGUUGCCAUACCGAAAGGUGGAACUCGCAGGAGACCGCCAGGGAUAACCUGGAGGAAGGUGGGGAUGACGUCAAGUCCUCAUGGCCUUUAUGUCCAGGGCUACACACGUGCUACAAUGGACGGUACAAAGGGCUGCCAACCCGCGAGGGGGAGCCAAUCCCAAAAAACCGUUCUCAGUUCGGAUUGCAGGCUGCAACUCGCCUGCAUGAAGCUGGAAUCGCUAGUAAUGGCGGAUCAGAACGCCGCCGUGAAUACGUUCCCGGGCCUUGUACACACCGCCCGUCACAUCACGAAAGUGGGUUGUACUAGGAGUCCGCACGCCAACCGCAAGGGGGCAGCGGCCCAAGGUAUGACUCAUGAUUGGGG
rnacentral:rRNA from 1 species